AAUAAAAUGCCUGAGAAAUAGGGGUAUCUUGAUAGGAUAUUACAUGUGAAUUUUCACUUUUAUUA
rnacentral:tRNA from 1 species